rnacentral:lncRNA from 1 species
UUACGUUUGCAUGAGCGUGGUCGCGCCUGCUUUCUUCUCGACAUACUUGGAGCUGGGCUGGAGCAAGGUGGAGUGGUGCCGAUCACCACCACCACUGCCACCGCUGCCGGUGGGAUACGGGCAGAAGCAGGCUGUCUCUCCUAGCCACUUCCUGACUUUCUCCCUCUCUCUCACAAUGGCUGUUUCUCUCACUCUGUCUCUAUGAAUUUCUCUCACGCUUUAGGUAGCAUUAAGCUUACUCUUCCUCUCGGUCUCACUUCAUGAGUGUAUAUACGUAUACGCUGUCUCUGCAUGCAUGAGAUUAAAUAUAUAUAUAUGUAUAUUAUUAUUAUAUAUAUAUACACAUAUACAUGGGUGUGUGUGAGUGUUAUACCUCUGUCACUGUGAACACAUUCAUGUUCUGCGGUCGCUACGUAUGUCUCAAUUCCACGCUCUCAGCUGCUUUAAAUCCUCCCUCCAUCUCUUUCGUUCUUGUGACGAAGCCCGGAGCCCUGCUGCAAUCACUCCAGGCGGGAGGACGUCAACGACAACACAGUACUAAGUAACCUAGCACAACCACUACCAUCAGGAACUUUAUGGCCAAAUAGCGACAAAGACCGAUCGAAAAAACAUUACACUGCAAUAUGUAACUAUAACAACCAUAUAACGAUGAAAAUCACUUAAGUUAACACAAUCAGGGGUUCAGGUGAGUGAGGAAAAUUAUAUGACGAAGAGUUUCAUAGAAAACAAAAACAUAAAUGAAUCAAAAUAAAUGACAAUGUGUUUGAAUGUCAGUGUCUGUAAAGAUAGAAAAAGAAAGAGCAGAGAAAAGUGAAGGAAGACGAAAUGAAAUCUAGAGAUGACAGGACGUGUAAAAGGGCUGAAACCGAGAUGGGUUGAGGGUGCCGGUUUGAUUUAAUAUUUUAAUCCCGGCACGUUUUUAUCCUUCGUUCACCACCAUUCGUUUCCUAUACAAUCAACGACACUCCAUUUCUCCCUCUCUCUUUCUUUCAUCAACAUAAUAUUCGAGUUCUCGUUAUGCUGGAAAGUCUGGAGUAGCUACUUGGGCCGACUGAAAAGAAUCGACUGGGUACUUACAUAGGUGCCGCCGGCUUGAUUGAUUUUCUAGCACACUGCACACAAGAAGCACUAUACUGUAGAGAAGGUAGAACCGUUGUUAGCUACAAUCAGUGUUGAGUGUAAACCCUGAUAUCAGUCGCCACUACCACAUCUGUCCCCCACCAGUCUGUUGCUGCUGUUGUUGUUGUUUUCUUGACGCUUGUACAUAAGAGUAAAUACUCCUAAGUCUUCUAUAGCAAUAACAGGCAACCAGAACAAUUAACAGCAGGAAGUUAAUGGAGGAAGAUACACACGAGCUGAUACUAUAUUGGGUAAGUUUGUCUAUACUUUACUGUUGUGCAUAACUACUACAUAUAUAAAUGUACGUGUGUAUAUACUUCUACAUCUUUUUAUAUCUUUUCAGGUUUUGUAAUGUUUCAUUGUAAGGAGCCGGGGGACCCUUCAACCCGACAGAUCAAUAGUGAUGGUACUGCUGGUCGGUGGCACACAGCAGCUUAUAUACUAAGAGAAUCUUAUGGUGUUUUGGGUGGUUGCAGAGAGUGCACUGUUUAUCAAAUUACGCUUUGGUUUUUACUGUAGGGUCACCUGAAGCCUGAAACGAAUACACCUUUCUGGUUGUCAAAAUGCCUAAUUAUUCAAGAUGUUGCUAGUGCCUGAAAUAAAGAAGUCUCCGUUUUUUUUUUUAAAUUUCAGUAGAUACUGGAUGUAUUUUUUUUUAAGUUUGAAUUAGGUUGUCUAUUACCGAAGUUUUUUUUUUGUUUUUAUUUUAUAAUUAUUUAUUUAUUAGAUUCUGAAUUUUACGUACGAUGUCUGCUGUAAUUGCAAUAACAUGGAUACUUUCGUUUAUGGAUAAAGGCCAGGCUGGCAUUUCUUAUGAUCUUUCUUUUUACUUAGAAUACUUACUUAAAGCAUAUUGUGAUCAAUAAUAGUUAGGCACUAUCAUUCUAAUAAAUUUUUUGAAGUGUUUCCGAGAGAAUUCUAAGUUUAAAUGUUUUUUAAUGUUCUGUUGGCAGCAUGUAGAAUGUAAUAACGUGGAGAAUGACAAAUGUUAGGAGAAACCUUCAAAGGAAGAUUUGUCGAUUACAAUUUUUUUAAGAUUUUCUAUAAAUUCUACAUAUUAGUUUCAUGAAAAUCUGUUUUAAUUAUUGGUUCUCAGAGAUUACUUAGAAAAAUACUCGUUCAGGUGUCAAACGACACUUGGAUUCUAGCAGAGUAAUUGGUAAAAAUACCUGAGCAUGUAUGCGCGUGUGAAUUAAACAGAAUGCUUUAUCAACAUAAUUUCUGUUCUUCAUCCAUUAGUUACAGUUUAAGGAAAUUCAAACAUAUUAAAAAAAACUAACAAAACUUUCAGCUUGGGAGAAAGUAAGGGUGCGUGUGUAAUUAAUAAUUGUGGGAAAUUUUAAUUGCAGUUUUUAUAAGAACCGCAGAAGACUUCAGUGAAUUACAGUGACAGAAUAAUAAUUGUCUUUCAUAAUACAGGGGUUGAUAGAGAGUGGUCCGAAUUGAGAAAGAGAGACUAUCGGAAGAUGUUGAUAGGAAACAAUGAAGUAAAAGAAAAUAAGUGAAUAUAUGGCGAUUAUAUUGGAUAGAAGUAGUGGAGGUGGUUGUAAUCGAUGGUAGUGGUGUCAUACACUGUGUUAAUGCCGCUGAUAAGAUGCUAAGCAAUGUUUUGUAAUAAUAAUGAUGUCGAAAGCUUUUGUGUUGUAUUAUAGAGUUCCUGGUUAUUUGGUGACCGCGAUAUUCGGCUCUGGUUGUUUUGUUGUUCAGUCUGUAAUAGUGAAUAUUAAGGUGGUGAUGACGGCGGUUCUGAGAGAGAGAAGGAGAGGGGAUAAAAACGAGCGAACACGAGAGAUGUUAGCCUAAACAGAACACGUAGAGCUUGCUUAGUACAAGAAACCCAGCGUGUGUUAGUAUGAGGAGAGGAGGAGAUGGAGAAAAAGAGAGAAGGAAGCAGGCUACGUCACCAGAUGAAUAUUGAAUUGCAAUUGGAGCUAACGGCACCCCUGGGGGAUGUUCCCUAGGGAGGCGACCUUUCGCAUACUGAGUCAGACGCGUGAUUUGGGUACGGUUUCUAGCCGUUUUAGUUCGGUUAGAAUAACAGUGUAUUUUUAGCUAGAGAGAAAGGGAGAAAGGAAUAUGCUCGUAUUCACCAAUAAUACAGUCGAAUGUUUUUUUUUUAAUGUUGUUUUUAUCCUAUGAGAACCAAGUCACGCUGGCCACUGCCAUUCACAGCACAAGUCGGCUGGGCAUUUACUACCACUCUUUCUUCCACUCCUUCUUUCCUCUACUUCUCCAGUCCCCCGAUGGAAGCAGUGGUAGGUGGAUUCCUUAUUCUAUGCCAUCUUUAGUAGCCAUGGUAUAGUGAGUGGGCACUCAAGAGGCGGGAUAUUUCUCUCUAUAGAAGGCGUAUCUCAUAUGGAUUACAUAGAGAGGAAAUCGACUGAAUUAAGGCGGAAGAAAGUAGUUUUUAAGUUUGGCUCUCUUUUCUGCUGCUGCUGCUGCUUCCACACUUUUUCCCUCCUUCCCUCUCUGUUUCUCCAAUACUUUCCUCUCCACUCACAUGCUGAACUUGAAACACUUUCACUUUAUAUGUAAACACAUGUAUGCACAUGCGCAGUUGCUUAGCCAGGGGCAAGUAACUCCAUGAAGAGGCCGGUAGGGGUGUGUACGUGCCUACAUCCAUUGGUUGCAUCAUUGGAAAACAGCACACGCAGAAAAUUAUUUAGUGCGUUGCAUAGACUUGCACGUGUAGCAGUAACUGAUUACGUACAAAAUCUACGUCUCUUAUACAGUCGUAUAUAUUAUUACUUUUUAUAAACUUCUGCUUUCCCGUAAAAAGUAACGCAUUUUGCAAAGCC